rnacentral:misc_RNA from 2 species
UGAACUCUCAAAGCCCCACGUUUUUGACGUGGCUUUGGACUUGAGGGCUUUUGCAGGCUUUUAUUAUAAAAAGGCCUGCUCCCUUGAAAUUCAUCAGUGGUAUCUGGAGCGGAAACCGCUAGGUGUUGAUAACAUUCAUCUAUGCCUUUGGGUAUGCCGCGCGAAUGUGCUGCUUCCAACGCCCCAUGCUCUUUGACAA